UCUGAGCUGGUAUGAAAUCGGCAAAAUGCUUGGUGAGGGAGGAUUCGGCUAUGUCUAUGAAGGGAAACGCUUGGAGAUUGUCGUUGAGGUGGCAGUGAAAAUUACCAACAAGCCAAGGAACAUGAAAUACAUCUAUGUUUUAAGCUGGCUUUUAACUCCUUGUUAAUUAAGAGUCCAGAGUUACUGAGAUCAAUCAGCUGCUGGACUGGCAGGACCAGCUUGAAUGUUACAUCAUGGUCUCAGACCCUGCUAAGAUGUGUACAAUUAUACCAUGCUUCAGGGAGGCUUCGUGAGCGAGGUCACAGCACAGUUUAUCAUGGCACAGGCAACACAGGCCACUCACAUGUGCUGUCAAUGAGGAGUAUUUCACCGGGACAUAAAGAUGGAGAACCUUCUGAUCAACCCAGAAACGAUCGAGGUCAAACUGAUUGACUUUGGGUGUAGGGAUCUCCUGCAAGACUCUGGCUAUGAGCAAUGUUGUGUGAAAAUUUGUAGUAUUUUAAGCUUACGUCAAAGCAAAAUCUCAUUCCUUCGGGCACAUCAGAGUACUGCCCACCUGAGUACUACGUGGACAAACAGUACCAUAGGAAACCAACUAUUGUAUGGUCUCUGGGAAUGCUCUUGUUUUUGUUGGUCAAAGACAGAGCUGACUGGUUACAGCGUCUGGUUGAACAGUAAGAUGCCAUUCAUCACAACAAAGAAGACCAACUGUAAAUGAAAUCAUGCAAAACAAGGAAACAGAGGAACAGGUAAAACACUUAGGCCAAGUAGCUAUAUAAAAGAUGGAUAAUACAGAAAUUGUACUUUUUUUCUGAUUGUACAGUGUAGAAUGGUCAG
ensembl:lncRNA